rnacentral:rRNA from 1 species
CCCUUAGAUGUUCUGGGCUGCACGCGCGCUACACUGACGCACGCAACAGGUGCCUGCUCCGAGAGGACUGGGUAAUCAUUUGAGUGUGCGUCGUGAUGGGGAUAGAAUAUUGUAAUUAUUACUCUUCAACGAGGAAUUCCUAGUAAGCGCCAGUCAGCAGCUUGCGCUGAUUACGUCCCUGCCCUUUGUACACACCGCCCGUCGCUCCUACCGAUGGGUGAUCCGGUGAAUGAUUCGGACUUCAGCGGCUCCCCUGGGGUGCGCCGGAGAAAGUUUUGUGAACCUUAUCACUUAGAGGAAGGAGAAGUCGUAACA